UUGCCCAAAGUCUUCCGUCUUAUUCUCUCUUCCAGAGCCAUCCAAGUCCAGAAGUAGGACAAAAGUCAGGAUGACUGGCUAUGGCCUAGGUUGCAGUGGAUGACCACGGAGGUCUUCAACGUCUGACCAAGCUCUAGGAGUUCCACAGAACCUUCUUCAACCUCCUUUGUGGCCAUUGGAGCAAAGCAUUCUCAUUUUCUAGUUCUUCCAGCGGAAGUCUUUACGUGCUUAGGGUAGACAUUCCCCUAACUCAAGGACGAGUUUGUGGCCUCAUUGGUUACCCUCAACCUGAUUUAGGCCAUCUGCUGAGAGGGUUUUACUGGCUUGUGGCUUCUGUGCAUGCUACAGCUUCUUGGAGCCACAGAUGAGAGGCAAGAUCAUCACCUCUAGUUCUCAAGUUCACACUCUCUAGGAGACUUUCUCUGGGAGCUACUUCUACAUUCAUCCCCAGAAUCAGCAGGGAUGAUGGGGAAUUAAACAAACAAAAUACUAAAAUCUUCUGGUUGCUGCAGGGCAGAGAGACUCUCCUGGAGAAGCUCCAAGUCACAGAGACAUCCUAGCCAAAACUCAUCAUUUUGUUGAAGAGGAAACUGAAAUCCAGGGAGGGGGAGGGACUGGUCCAAAAUGUCACUAGGUGUUGGAGGAGAGAGGAGCUUGUUCAGCCCAGUCUGGAGUGUCAUGCUCUUCUUGGUUCAGCCCGAAGACACAGGCUUCUGAAGAUGAAGGAAGAGUGGUGUCCUUUUGUCCCACUGCUUGGGUUUGGUAGCCAGCUCAGCAUCAAUGCCUGUUGGACCAAGGGAUGAUCUUUGGGAGUAUGACCUGUUGGAUCUAGCCUAGUAGAUUAGAUUAGAUUAAACUUUUAUUAGGUGCUUACUGCAUAGUCACUGGACUCUGUAACUCCCAGAAUAUAAAUAAAGACAAAAAAAGUCCCUCUUUUUAAUGGAAG
rnacentral:lncRNA from 1 species